AUUGAACGCUGGCGGCAGGCCUAACACAUGCAAGUCGAGCGGAUGAAGGGAGCUUGCUCCUGGAUUCAGCGGAGGACGGGUGAGUAAUGCCUAGGAAUCUGCCUGGUAGUGGGGGAUAACGUCCGGAAACGGGCGCUAAUACCGCAUACGUCCUGAGGGGGAAAGUGGGGGAUCUUCGGACCUCACGCUAUCAGAUGAGCCUAGGUCGGAUUAGCUAGUUGGUGGGGUAAAGGCCUACCAAGGCGACGAUCCGUAACUGGUCUGAGAGGAUGAUCAGUCACACUGGAACUGAGACACGGUCCAGACUCCUACGGGAGGCAGCAGUGGGGAAUAUUGGAAGAUGGGCGAAAGACUGAUCCAGCCAUGCCGCGUGUGUGAAGAAGGGCUUCGGAUGGUAAAGCACUUUAAGUUGGGAGGAAGGGCAGUAAGUUAAUACCUGGCUGUUUUGACGUUACCAACAGAAUAAGCACCGGCUAACUUCGUG
rnacentral:rRNA from 1 species